GACGAACGUUGGCGGCGUGCUUAAUACAUGCAAGUCAACUGAAGCAGUGGUAGCAAUAUCGCUGUGGAGGUGGCGCACGGGUGAGUAACACGUAGGUAAUCUGCCUUCAGGUCUGGCAUAACUCCGGGAAACCGGGGCUAAUAGCAGAUGAUGCAGCGGCUCGACAUCGAGAUAGUUGUUAAAGCUAUGGCGCCUGAAGAUGAGCCUGCGUCUGAUUAGCUAGUUGGCGGGGUAAAGGCCCACCAAGGCAACGAUCAGUAGCUGGUCUGAGAGGAUGAUCGGCCACACUGGAACUGAGACACGGUCCAGACUCCUACGGGAGGCAGCAGUAAGGAAGAUUGCUCAAUGGGAGAAAUCCUGAAGCAGCAACGCCGCGUGAGGGACGAAGGGCGUUUGCUUGUAAACCUCUGUAGUGAGAGAAAAAAAUCCCAAUCUUUGGGACAUGAUGGUAUCUCAAAAGUAAGCCCCGGCUAACUACGUG
rnacentral:rRNA from 1 species